AAGUCGUAACAAGGUCUCCGUUGGUGAACCAGCGGAGGGAUCAUUACUGAGUUAUUAAAACUCCAAACCCUUUGUGAACCUUACUGUCGUUGCCUCGGCGUGAGCUACGGCUACCCUGUAGCUACCCUAUAGCUACCCUGCAGCUACCCUAUAGUUGACCAGUAGCUACCCUGUAGUUACCCUAUAGCUACCCUGCAGCUACCCUAUAGUUGACAUGUAGCUACCCUGUAGCCGGCUUAUGGCCCGCCGAAGGACCGCUAAACUCUUGUUUUUUUACCACUGUUUCUCUGAAUUGUAAACUUAAAUAAGUUAAAACUUUCAACAACGGAUCUCUUGGUUCUG
rnacentral:misc_RNA from 1 species